AAACCACCACUUCAUUAUUGCUUGAGAACAGCUGUCAGUUUGCCUUCCUCCUGCCAAUACUCCGACUGCCAGAGAAAAGCUAAACUGCGGGUCCCCAACCCUGGACCACAGCACACAGAACAGUGGACUUCUUCAGAAUCUUCUUGUAAAAUGACCUGAAACUACAGUGAGAAGAAGGGAAACAAUGAAUUUGAAGAAAUGAGCAUUUGAUCUAGAGACUUCUUCAUGGGGAGAAAAGGAACCAUUUGCACAUAUGCAGUCUUUGAAUCCCUAAGAACCUGCUUCCUCAUCUCAAAGGGCUGCUGUUUAGGAGCUCUGGCCAGGAAGGAGGGGAGCAGAGCCUGGUCUGUAAAGCCCAGGAUUUUGAACAGGACAAAUGCAGAAGAAUCCCAGUUCGUUACCCAUGGACUCCAUGACUCUGGGCAAAUUUGUUUUCAUCUUUGGAAAAAACAGUGGUAGUAGCUAUCUUACAGAUCUGUCUUAAGGAAUAAGUUGAAGAAAAUAUGCAAACUUCUUAUCACAGUCACCUUGAAGAAGCAAUACUUCUAUGGAUAGUACUAUUCGGUAUCAACAAUAGCUAAUUAUGCUAAUUAGGUUUGAUUAAGGGUAGACUGGAAAAAUUGGAAAGCUGGCAGCAGGUCAUAUAUUUUUCUCUCUCAUCUACUUCUUUUGAACACAUUCUUUCUUUGUCAUCCUCAAACAGGAAGUGCCACAUGACAUUCUGUGGACUUGUGGCAAACACUCAGAAUCAAACACAUGAAAAUGACAUACCAGACUAUAUUUUUUUUCACAAAAGCAGAAUAAAAUUUCUUAAUGAAACCAAA